ensembl:lncRNA
UUUCUCUCUGGAGAUUGCUCUUUGUGGAAUUUUUUGUGAGCCUCCGGCACUGCCUAUCCUUCAUCGUUCUUAUUUUCUGCUGUUCUGACCAAUUUAUGAAGAUCAAUCUUUCAGUGGUCACUUACUGUCAAAAUCACCUACAUGAGUUAUCUAAAAGCUAGCAUUCAGUCACAGACAUUCUUCAGUGGAUUCCAACAUAUUGACUAAGCUCUUUGCAAGAACUGUUGGCUACCAUACCUUAAAUAUGUUUGGGGUUAUCUCUUCACAAAGAGCCCAGCUGGCAAGGAAGAACUACAACCAUAAUACAAAGCUCUCUUAUCUCUGUAAGAAUGUGGUUUCAUCCAAACAGCUGUACUGAGAGUGAUCCGCACUCUCAAUAGACUGAUUGCCAAAAAUUGUCCAGGAGAUGACUGUUUCUUCACUUCCUGUGUGUUAGAAAUGUUAAGAAUUAUUCUACAAGUAUCUCAUUUUUCCUGUUUACUUGCCUAUUUUAAAGUAACAAUUAGUUUGUCGUACCGGGUAUUUGCUCUUCAUUUAACUUUAGUUAGCAAUCUGAUAGGAAUCAAUUCUUAUGACUUUUCACAAUUAUAAUGUAGGUAGCUGGAUAUAUUCGAGCAUCUAGGCUGUUUUAAAAAAUACAUCCAGAAAGAUCUUGAUAAAAUCCUGAGAAGAACAUUAGCAUUAAGUCGGGUCAUAGCAUAGAUAAACUGGUUUCUUUCACAGACUUCAUAGGAAAACUAGAUAGCUACUCUAGGCAGUAAUUAAUUGGGCUUUUAUUAGGUAUAUCUAAGUAAUGUGAAGUUAAUGAAACUCGCUUUGUAUUGCUGUAGUUUUUUCAUGUUGUUUUCCACUCCUUGCCUCCCCCAACAUCUAUGGUAAAUUUAUUACCUCUUCCAGAUAAUAUACUGUUCCUGACUAGAUUUACAUUAAGACUGUGGUAAACAAUUAGCAUCAAGCUACUUCCAACACUGAUGGGAGAAUAAUUUAAUGAUUAUUUAAUUUUUACAAAAUAAAAACA